rnacentral:rRNA from 1 species
UACAGAGGGUGCGAGCGUUAAUCGGAAUUACUGGGCGUAAAGCGCGCGUAGGCGGCACUGCAAGCCGGAUGUGAAAUCCCCGGGCUUAACCUGGGAACUGCAUUCGGGACUGCAUUGCUAGAGUAUGGGAGAGGGAAGUGGAAUUUCAGGUGUAGCGGUGAAAUGCGUAGAUAUCUGAAGGAACAUCAGUGGCGAAAGCGACUUCCUGGACCAAUACUGACGCUCAUGUGCGAAAGCGUGGGGAGCAAACAGG